rnacentral:rRNA from 1 species
GACGAACGCUGGCGGCGUGCUUAACACAUGCAAGUCGAACGGAAAGGCCCUGCUUUUGUGGGGUGCUCGAGUGGCGAACGGGUGAGUAACACGUGAGUAACCUGACCUUGACUUUGGGAUAACUUCAGGAAACUGGGGCUAAUACCGGAUAGGAGCUCCUGCUGCAUGGUGGGGGUUGGAAAGUUUCGGCGGUUGGGGAUGGACUCGCGGCUUAUCAGCUUGUUGGUGGGGUAGUGGCUUACCAAGGCUUUGACGGGUAGCCGGCCUGAGAGGGUGACCGGCCACAUUGGGACUGGGAUACGGCCCAGACUCCUACGGGAGGCAGCAGUGGGGAAUAUUGCACAAUGGGCGGAAGCCUGAUGCAGCAACGCCGCGUGCGGGAUGACGGCCUUCGGGUUGUAAACCGCUUUCGCCUGUGACGAAGCGUGAGUGACGGUAAUGGGUAAAGAAGCACCGGCUAACUACGUG